rnacentral:rRNA from 1 species
CCUACGGGCGGCAGCAGUGGGGAAUAUUGCACAAUGGGGGAAACCCUGAUGCAGCGACGCCGCGUGAGUGAAGAAGUAUUUCGGUAUGUAAAGCUCUAUCAGCAGGGAAGAAGAAAGACGGUACCUUACUAAGAAGCCCCGGCAAACUACGUGCCAGCAGCCGCGGUAAUACGUGGGGGGCAAGCGUUAUCCGGAUUGACUGGGUGUAAAGGGAGCGUAAUCGGUCCUGCAAGCAAGAGGGGAAAGCCCGGGGCUCAACCCCAGCCAGCCGUUGAAACUGGGGAUCUAGAGUGUGCGAGAGGUAUGCGGAAGGCGAGGUGUAGCGGUGAAAUGCAUAGAUAUCACGCAGAACCCCGAUUGCGAAGGCAGCAUACAGGUGCAAAACUGACGCUCAGGAACGAAAGCGUGGGUAUCGAACAGGAUUAGAUACCCGAGUAGUC